rnacentral:rRNA from 1 species
UACGUAGGGGGCAAGCGUUGUCCGGAUUUACUGGGCGUAAAGAGCGCGUAGGCGGAAAUUUAAGCGUGGCCUGAAAGCCCCCGGCUCAACCGGGGAGUGCGGCUGCGAACUGGGUUUCUUGAGGACGAUAGAGGAGAGUGGAAUUCCUGGUGUAGCGGUGAAAUGCGUAGAUAUCAGGAGGAACACCCGAGGCGAAGGCGGCUCUCUGGGUCGUACCUGACGCUGAGACGCGAAAGCGUGGGGAGCGAACAGG